rnacentral:rRNA from 1 species
AACCGAGCAAAGGUAGCAUAAUCACUUGCCCAUUAAUUGUGGGCUAGAAUGAAAGGACCAACGAAAUAAAGACUGUCUCUAUAAGCAAAUUAAAAAUUAAUCUCUAACUGAAGAGUGUUAGAUUAUGUCGAAGGACAAGAAGACCCUAUAGAGCUUAAUUCUAAUAAAAAUACAUGUUUUAAUAAAAUUCGGUUGGGGCGACCAGGGAAUAAAAAUCAUCCCUAUUCAAAAGAUUUAUAAAUCUUUAAAAUGACCCUUAAACAAGACCAUAAAAACAAGCUACCUUAGGGGUAACAGGCUAAUCCCACUAAAGAGUUCUUAUCAAUAGUGGGGGUUGGCACCUCGAUGUUGGCUUAGGGAAUCUAUACGGCGCAAAAGUCGUAUAAAGAUGGUUUGUUCAACCAAUAACCCCUACAUGAGCUGAGUUCAGACCGGCGUAAGCCAGGUUAGUUUCUAUCCUCGAUAAUAAUACCUAUUUAUAUAACGAAGUGACCUAAGUAAGGGUAACAGUUACGAUAAAAGAAUAAAUAUAAAAAAUUAAUAUUUAGACGAUUCAUAACCUAUGAUAGAGAGUUGGCAGAAUAGUGCCGCG